UAAAAGCAUGUGAGACUGAAAUUUAAAGACUGUUUAUGAGUAAACCUUCUAAUGGCCAUGUAGCAACCUUUAAUUGGCGAAAAAUUUGUUGAAGAUGAACAAGAACAAAAGUCCCAAAGCUUCACGUCAGACGGUUGAUGUUUGUCCCUCUGAGCAUUGACCAUACACUGUUUAUUUUCUUUCCUGAAAUCAAAGUCUCCUCAAGUCCUUUUCUCAAGCAUCGCUUGUGCCCAAGCUUAAGCAAACACAACCACAGAGUUGUCAUAAAACUGAAAUCAAAAGCUCCUAAAGUCCUUUUUUUAAAAAAAACUCACUUGUUCCCAAACUCAAGCAAAUGUAACCACAAAGCUGUCAUAAAACCAAACAACAAUGUUCAACGGUGUUAAACGGUUUUGAGGUUCUGCUAAAUGACAUCAGCUCCCCCUUUUCCCCCCUGAGCACGAAGAGCCGCAUGUUGCUUUUUAAUUUACCUAUUCGGUCCGUUUUCUCCUGACUUCAUAUCCUGUUUGGGUCCCACAGCUGAAAGCGUUACAACCUGAGGUCACCAGCUCUCACAGACUAAGCAGUUUCAGAAACAUGUAAAUAAAGCACGUAAGAAAGAAGUGAACCACAUUCGCUGUCUCCCUCAGGAAAACAAACACUUCAGCCGUCAUCUCCUCUUGUUAUUGUGAUCUGUGCAGCUCGAGAUCUCUGUGGCGUCUGGCCAGAAACGAGACACCCUUGACUCCCCUUUGGGCUUUGGCUGCAAAGGUACAGCCACGCAAGAAACCCGGACAUGUGUUUGCUCUUAGAAGAACUGAGAACCUCCUCAACAACAUAUGGAAACCAUAGCGGUUUCCUCACUGGUGUCGGCAAGGAUAUGGUUUCACCCACUGCAAAGCCAGCAACUUCUCUGUGUAGCGAAAAAAAAAAAAAAAACCUUUAGGGUUGACUUAGUUGAUGCCUUAGUUCUUCUUCGUGUAAGGAAUACGCUUUGUCUAGUAACUGUACUAAACUUGCACAAACAAGCAUGCAUUCAGACAAAUGUGAGCCAUAAAGACCUCACAAGACAAAUGUACACAUUUUCUCUUAAUCUCUCCUUUGGCGCCAUUCUGCCCGAUCUUCUGAUCGUUAACUAGAUGUGUGUUGCACAAGCAUGCUGGAUCCUGUCCCAUUUUAUGCUAAAUAGCUCAGCCCUGAGGGCAUAAGAUCAGAACUCAGCAGAUGAAACCCUGCUCCUUACUUCACUUGUGAUUUUUCCUUUAAGGUAGAUCUCAUAAAAAUAUGGUCUUUGCCUUUAAGUCUGUAAAAACCCCCCAAAACAAACAAAGAAAACAUUUUUGGUAAGUAGAGUUGAACUUAUAAACAGUUUGGAUUAUGUACUGACACAACUAGAACUUCUGUGUGUUUUACAGUUUUCCGACUGUAUACCUCAGCAGUGCCAGUUUGAGCAGUUUUGAGUCAUUGCUUUUAUCACAUGACUCAAACUGGUUGGCCUAGGUGAACUUUUCCUUUCUGUAAAUGAUGGAUACACAGCCGUGCGAAAAGGUAUUUGUCUUCUACUUUUUUCAGGUCAUGAUUUUGUUCCACUGUGUUUCAGUUCAUGAAAUUAUGAACUGAAACACAAUUCAUAUUAUUUGUUACUGAGGGAAAAGGGAAGCUUGUGGAUGACUAAAAAAAAGCAAGUUGCUGAGAUGCAACUUCGUAAAGGGUAUUUCCCCAAUUAUUAAUAGAGAUGUCUGCAUGUAUAAUGUUAACGCACUGUGGAUUGGAGAAAAUACAUUCUGACUUGCCUUGUUGGUCCAGUCGAUGAUACUGUAGGAUCAUUUGACACUUUAUGAACAUGUUAAACCAUAUCAUUUAAAACUUUAUAUGAGAUGAAGGCCCAUAAUGAGUGGCUCUUCUCACCAGAGCUGCUUUUUAUGUAACCUAAAUGUUUUCAAAGGGAAAAUUUCUAAUGUCUAUUUGCCGAAAAAUCCUAAGGAGCCAUUUUGUCGAAAACCAUACAACAUGAAUCAAACGAAACUGUGAAAGUCUCAUUUUUCUCACCUCCUCGCCCUACCGUCGUACGUUCUCUCUACCUAGCCCCAAUUCUGUUCCUUUAAAUGUGGCCAGAGUGAAGCACCAGUGCGUCGUACCCUCCGUCUGAAAUAGCAGGGUGAGUCACUUGGGUAGCCAGGACGGAAGACCUCGCAUGCCCAGAUGAGUUUCCACAAGCCAUUCCAGAUCGUUGACUUGUAAGAAUUGCUAAGUGAUACGUAAGCUAAGGUGUCUUUUGCAACACCGAGGGGUCUGCAGGUCUGGUUUGUUUUGCAGUCUCACAUGGACUCGGUCUGCUCGUCAGCCAGCUUCUGCAGUUUACACUCCUAUAUGUACUCGAUUUUUCAGAAUGUAGUGUGACUUUGCGUGGGCGAUUCUGUAACCCUGCGAGCCGCAAACAGUUUGCAUUUAUUUAAUGCUUCACAUCCUACUGAGAAGGACCAAAGUCAAGACAGCAGCAGUCACUAUUACACAACCAGAAUCAUGUUAUGAAAGUCACGAAAGCUGGGUGUUGAUUGUCUUGGCAGAGACUUGAAGACAGUUUUUCUUUAUUAGAGGUGUAAGUUUUAUGAAUUACAUAAAAUAAGUUGGUAAAAGUUAAUAAAAAUGAUACAUGUUUAUCUGAUUUGGCUUAUCACAAACAUAGAACUCAGAUAUGCAACAACAACAUGGUUUUCUUGUUUUCAAGAAAUCUGCUGUUUCCUUGAAAACAGCAGAUUUUGGCAAAUAAUCAGCCUUAGUGCAGUUUAAUGACUUCACCCAAACAGCUAGCCUCAUCAUUAUUGCUGUCAUUGCAAUUAUUUAUUUAACGAGACGUUUUUGCAAUAAUGUAAUUACAGUGAUAGUGCAAUAAUGAUCAAUUUGUAGUGUAUGGUGCCAUCCAUACUAUUUUUCUUAACAUUUAGUAUCCCAUUUCAUAGGAAGCCCAGUAGUGACCAUGGUGAUAAUAUUUUUUAAGGUUGAGAACCACUUUGGACAUUUCGAAGUCAAUCUUGUGUAAUUUGCAUAUUCUGAGGCAGAUUUGUGUUAUUUCUCUGCUUUGCAUUGUGGGAGGAUUGAGUUCCAGGUAGCAUAGAUGAGAUGACAGCAGUGUAGACGUCUUGAAUUUCUGUUGUGUUUUAUUGGUUCAUUUGCAUGCUUUUGCGAUCUGUGGCUCAAAAUUAAAAUGAAAGUAAGAAUAAAAUAAUUAUUUCGUGAGAUCUGAUUUUGAAGUUGUAAGAAUUUAAAUCUCAGGAUCAAGCUGUCUCUGCGGAUUUAAUAUAAGUUCCUCGUUCUUGCGUCUUUAGGGAAAACCUCCAGUGUCCUAAAUCUACUGGCCUGUAAACUCAGAGGUUAACGUUGUAUUUAUUUGAUGUCAUUUGGAAACAUCAGUCAGACUCCAUUUUCAAGCCAACAAGCAUGCUUCUAAUUGUGAUCGUUUAUACUGUAGUUCCAGUUGUUUGGCAUGAAUGUCGUUUCCCCCUGUGGUGCCGAGGAAGUAAUUGUUUUGUGUGGGAGCAGAGCCCUGCAGCAGAGCGUGGGGUUGUGUUUAGACGACUUGUGGUUUAGCUGUAAUUAUUCAAGCUGUCCACUCAUAAAACACACGAUCAUGGGAAGUCUGAGGCACACCAGAGGGACUGUAGUGGAUGCAUCGAGGAGCUUCAGAUUUCCUUUCAGAUCGCUGCGUCUUACAAAAGUUUUGAAAUUAUGCUUUUGUUUGUUUGACUGGUGUAUGGCGAUACAUCAGUCAUUAAAACACAAUAAAGUAACUUCUUUCAUGUAUGUUCAAAGUGUUUUUUUCCCCUUCAGAUAGAGACUUGACAAGAGAGGAUGUUGAAUCAUGUGCUGUCAGCAUUGGUCCCAAAAAGCAAAUGUUGUUGAACAGAUGUAAAUGACUAUGAGUGCCAUUAAGCUUUGGAAGAACUUAACUGAGCAGCUAUUUACAGCUAUUAAACUGAAAUUGAAGGUGGGUUAGCUGACUCCAUCAUACAAAUGGAUAAUGACUCAGAGAAUACUUCCUGUCUUUGUCAACAAAAAUUCUCUUAUAUCCAGGGCUCAUAAUAAUACCUUUGACUAAAACAGUCUUGCAAAGACAGAUGGUAUUUUAGGAUUGUGAAAUCUCGUCUUACAACAUCCAAUUACCCUCCUGUCAAAUGUACAUCAUCAUCAUC